UACAGAGGUGGCAAGCGUUGUUCGGAAUUACUGGGCGUAAAGGGCGCGUAGGCGGUUCGUUAAGUCCUGUGUGAAAUCCCCCGGCUCAACUGGGGAACUGCACAGGAAACUAGCGGGCUUGAGUUCGGGAGAGGGAAGCGGAAUUCCGGGUGUAGCGGUGAAAUGCGUAGAUAUCCGGAGGAACACCGGUGGCGAAGGCGACUUCCUGGACCGACACUGACGCUGAGGCGCGAAAGCUAGGGGAGCGAACAGG
rnacentral:rRNA from 1 species